GGGAGACCUAAGUUUUGAGUCCUGGGUGACCCUGGUAAGCUUCUGUUUGUUGUCUUGAAAAUGAGAAUGAUAAUAACCUGAUUUAUAAAAAGAUAGAAUUCAGUGAACCUGAAUUCCCACCGUUCUUGCUGACAUAAAUGCAACAGAGUUACCCCGAGCUGCUGUCGUGGAAGGAUGGCAUAGCGGAGAGAGAGCCUGAGUCCCCCAGAUCUAAACUAGAGUCCUGGCUCCGCUGCUUACCGGCUCUUUGACCUUGGGCAACCCCUGUGAGCCACAGUGUCCUCAUCCAGACACAGGGGACAACACUCCCACCUACGUCACAGGGCUGUCCUGAGGAGUAAAUGAUGCGCUACAGGAUAGUGCUGGGCUCACCGGCUCAGGAAAUGCUCAUGGAGUGUGGUUCCUGGACCAGCAGCAUCAGCAUCCCCUGAGAGCUUGUUAGAGAUGCAGAAUAUAAGGCCUCACUCCAGACCUCCUGAGUCAGAAUCUGCAUUUUAGGAAGAUUCCCCAAUGUAACUGGUUUUGGACUUGGUUUGUGACCUGGUCUGGGCCAGUGGGAUGAGAAGGGAAAGUUUGCUGGGAACCUUCUGCAAAAUAUGCCCUGCUGAGAAAGAGACCAAAGAAGAGAUGGCUCCUUUCUGUCUGUGGUCUU
rnacentral:lncRNA from 1 species